UACGUAGGGGGCAAGCGUUGUCCGGAUUUACUGGGCGUAAAGAGCGUGUAGGCGGCCACGCAGGUCCGUUGUGAAAACUGGAGGCUCAACCUCCAGCUGUCGACGGAAACCGUGUGGCUAGAGUCCGGAAGAGGAGAGUGGAAUUCCUGGUGUAGCGGUGGAAUGCGCAGAUAUCAGGAGGAACACCAAUAGCGAAGGCAGCUCGCUGGGACGAUACUGACGCUAAGGCGCGAAAGCGUGGGGAGCGAACAGG
rnacentral:rRNA from 1 species